rnacentral:lncRNA from 1 species
AAAUAAGAGUUGUUUCUUUGUGAUCUUUGAACUUGUUUGCAUGUUUCUCAUUUGUUCUUUCAGGUAAGACAGUGAAGUCUUUAACUGCUCCAGAAGAAGAGGGUCUGGAAAGAAAAUGUCUCUGGCAAAAAAGUAUCAGGUACAUGAUACUGCAGAGAUUCAAAAUCAGAAGUAAAUCAGUUGGACAGUUGCCUCCUGCCUUCCUAAAGAGGCAAAUAUAUUAGAAACAGAAGAAGGGGCCUGCCUACCUACCUCAUUCCUAUUUCUCAGGGGACAAAAUUUUGCUUAUUCAUACCUUCUACUGUGGCAAAAAUGGAUUCUUUUCCUCACCAAAAACCAGCAGCAUAACACCCAUCCAACACCUGCCUCAAGGAACUCUCAUUAUUUAAAGUCUAUUUUUAUUUCCCUGUAG